CUGGACCUCGGAUCAGGCCAGGCUACCCGCUGAAUUUAAGCAUAUCAAUAAGCGGAGGAAAAGAAACUAACUAGUAUUCCCCUAGUAACGGCGAGCGAAGCGGGAACAGCUCAAAUUUGAAAUCUCCGGUGCCUGCACCGGCGAAUUGUAGUCUAUAGGGCCAGUUUCGCCAGACGCGGUGUCCCCAAAGUCGUCCUGGAAAGGCGGGCCAGAGAGGGUGAGAGCCCCGUGUGCGGGGGCACUGCGGAAGGUAAGAUCUGUGCCCAAAGAGUCGGGUUGUUUGGGAUUGCAGCCCAAAAUGGGUGGUAAACUCCAUCUAAAGCUAAAUACUGGCACGAGACCGAUAGCGAAC
rnacentral:rRNA from 1 species